rnacentral:rRNA from 1 species
CCUACGGGUGGCAGCAGUGGGGAAUAUUGGACAAUGGGCGAAAGCCUGAUCCAGCCAUGCCGCGUGUGUGAAGAAGGCCUUCGGGUUGUAAAGCACUUUCAGUGGGGAAGAAAGCCUUGGGGCUAAUACCCUCGAGGAAGGACAUCACCCACAGAAGAAGCACCGGCUAACUCCGUGCCAGCAGCCGCGGUAAUACGGAGGGUGCGAGCGUUAAUCGGAAUUACUGGGCGUAAAGCGCGCGUAGGCGGUCUGAUAAGCCGGUUGUGAAAGCCCCGGGCUCAACCUGGGAACGGCAUCCGGAACUGUCAGGCUAGAGUGAAGGAGAGGAAGGUAGAAUUCCCGGUGUAGCGGUGAAAUGCGUAGAGAUCGGGAGGAAUACCAGUGGCGAAGGCGGCCUUCUGGACUGACACUGACGCUGAGGUGCGAAAGCGUGGGUAGCAAACAGGAUUAGAUACCCGGGUAGUC